UCCAGGGCUGGGGCAUCCACUGCUGCUCCGGCCAACCUGUGCCGCUGCCUCUCCGCACUUCCAGGGAAGAAUUUCAUCCGAAUAUCCAAUCAAAAGCCACCCCAGAAUUCACAUUUACUUAUUACUGGAUGAAGACGGGCACCCCACAAGCAGGUACAUAGACAAGGCAAAGAUUUUUAAUGCCUUCUUCACUCCAGCUUUCAACACCAGUGAUGGGCUCUAGGGGUCUCUGAGCUGGAGGACCAUAGCUCUGAGAAUAAUAAACUCAGUCAAUCUCAAACUUGUGCAGGAUCUGCUGUUCCAGCUGAAUCCCUUUAUAGGGAUGGUGUAUGGGGCCUUAUGGAAUUCAUCCAAGACUAUUCAAAAGAGCUGGUGGAUGUCAUCAUGAGACCUCUCUCAAUGAUUUUUGAACUGCCAUGGGAAUCUGGAGAGAUCCUACUUGACUGGAAAUUGGCAAACAUUUUCCCAGUUUUCUGAAAGGGCGAGGGAUGAUCCUGGGCACUAUAGGCCCGUCAGUCACAUUUCAUUGCCUGGUAAAAUUACGGAGAAGAUUAUUCUGAGAGUUAUGGAAAAAAUAUCUGAAGGACAAUGAAGGCAUCAGUCACAGGCAGCACAAGUUCCUGAGGGGAAAGUUCUGCUUGAGAAACUUAAAUUCCUUUAAGGACAAGGUAACUCAAGUAGUUGAUCUAGGGAAGCUUUGAUAAAAAAUUUGUAGUUUAGUAAAGCUUUCUAUUCUGUCUCUCCCAGGAUUCUUCUGGACAGAAUGUCCAGCACAUGGAUGGAUAAAUACAUUAUGCGAUGGGUGAGCAACAGGCUCAUGGGUCGGGUUAUAGUGAAUGGGGUGACAUCAGACUGGUGACUGGUCACUAGUGGGGCUCUGCAGAGCUCAAUUUUAAGGCCAAUGCUCUUCAAAUCUUCAUAAACAACUGGGAUACAGGAUUUGAAGAUACACUGAAUUUGCCAGCAUAGCUGAAGCUGUAUCAGCAGACCCGCCCGACCAGGCAGCCUGUAGUAGACACCAAACACAGGCUUUUUCUGGAAAUGUCCUCGAUUUUUACCCACAGGCUUUCAGCCUCUUCAUGGCUGUUACUCAGACGCAGCUCUUUACUAUCUGUCCCUUCCUUAGAGAGUC